rnacentral:rRNA from 1 species
GACGAACGCUGGCGGCGUGCUUAACACAUGCAAGUCGAACGGAAAGGCCCUGCUUUUGUGGGGUGCUCGAGUGGCGAACGGGUGAGUAACACGUGAGUAACCUGCCCUUGACUUUUGGAUAACUUCAGGAAACUGGGGCUAAUACCGGAUAGGAGCUCCUGCUGCAUGGUGGGGGUUGGAAAGUUUCGGCGGUUGGGGAUGGACUCGCGGCUUAUCAGCUUGUUGGUGGGGUAGUGGCUUACCAAGGCUUUGACGGGUAGCCGGCCUGAGAGGGUGACCGGCAACAUUGGGACGGAGAUACGGCCCAGACUCAUACGGGAGGCAGCAGUGGGGAAUAUUGCACAAUGGGCGGAAGCCUGAUGCAGCAACGCCGCGUGCGGGUUGAAGGCCUUAGGGUUGUAAACCGCUUUCGCCUGUGACGAAGCGUGAGGGAAGGUAAUGGGUAAAGAAGAACAGGCUAAAUACGUG